AUGACUUCAUGGGCAUGAUGUUGUCGCUUCUUAACGAUGCUGCAGAGCUCCCUAGCUAUGACGCUGAUACAAUCAACAAAGCCACAUGCCUGGUGAGUUCUUACCUAACUUUUGUUUCAGAAUCACAUCUUUUCCUGUUUGCUUUUCUGGUUAAUCACAAGACCACUCCAAUCAAGAUCCAACUCAAUUGUCCGACUAUAACCAGAACCGGGACCAAUCAAGGGUCCAUUUGUUUUGCAUUAAAAUAUUUUUAAAAAAUAUUUUUAAGACUUAUAUUUGUUUAGCAGACGAAAAAUUAAUUUUAGAUGUAAAAGAUUUUACGAAUCAAUAAAGUUAAUCAUAAAAAAUAUCUUACGCUAUUGAAAGACGUAAAACAUUUUUUAUAAAACAAUAAAAACACUUUUAUAUUAAGUUUAUGAGUAUAAGUUUGAUAAAUAUUAAUAUUUAAAUUAUACAAAAUAAUUAAAAUUAAAANUGAUGUUAAAUAUUUUUAAAAAAAUAUUUUAAGACUUAUAUUUGUUUAGCAGACGAAAAAUUAAUUUUAGAUGCAAAAUAUUUUACAAGUCAACAAGAGUUAAUUAUAGAAAAUGUCUUACACCCUGGAAGAGUGUAAAACAUUUUUCAGAAAACAACAAAAAUACUUUUAUAUUAAGUUUAUGAGUAUAAGUUUGAUAAAUAUUAAUAUUUAAAUUAAAAUAUCUAAAAUUGAAAAAUAAUAUUUUGAUGAAACCAUUUAAUACAAUUAAAUAUUUUAUUUAUAAAUAGAAUAAAUCUAACUAAUAAUUACAAUAAAAAAAAUUUCAAUGAUCAUCAUUUGAUGAAUACACAUUUAUAAUAAAUUUAAAUCUUACUAAUAAUUAUAAUAAAAUAUUUAAUAAUUAUUUUUUAAUGAAUACAUAUUUAUAAGUAUAAAUUUUAAAUAUCUUACACAAUUGAUGAAUAUUUAUAUUUUUAUAGCUAUGAUAAAAAAGUGAUAAGAUGGAAAUUUUUUGAAAAUUAGAGUUUAUUUUUAUUAUAGAUUUAUGGUUAAAUUUUUGAGAAAUAUCAUUAUUGAUUUUAUCCAUUUUCAUUUCCAUUCUUAAUUUUGAUCCCAAAUUAGUGAAUAUCAAAUAUCAAUAUUAUUUUUUAUUCAACUCUCAUUUAUUAUUUAACACCUAAAUAACUCCACCAUGAUGAAAAAUAUUUUUCACAAAAUGAUCUAAACAAUAGAAAAUGUUUUCGACAGUUGAUCUAAACAACAAAAAAUAUUAAAUUUCUCUGUAAAACAUUUUACCCAGAAAAAAUUUGUCUCUAGCAAGUCAUUUUUUGGUUACCAUACGGAUCCCAAAACUCAAAAACAGAACACAACCACAAGUCAAAGAAGUUACCAUCACAAACCAUGUGGCCAUAACAUUUGCUUAUACAGAAGAGAAGAACCCACUCACAAGUUAAUUACCUGCAAAAGAUUUCCCAGCUUUGGCAAGAGCAUCCGCCAGAUCGUUGGCAACUCGAGAAACCAAAUGCCCACUUGAGUUUUAGUACUUUCACUGCCUAGAAUUCCUUCAAUCAUGUCAUCUAACCUUUACUCACCGAGUAAUUCUUAUUUUGAUAAAAUCAAAUAAUUGAAAAAAUACCCAAACAUUUGACAUUGAACAACAUGUCAAAUCUACGAAGCCAAAUAAAUCAAAUGAUGAUGACAAAUAACACCAUAUAUAUUCUACUCGUCGCCUAUCUUGUUUGAAAAAGCAACGUUCCCUGUUGCACCACAACGAUUGAUUAACAUACAUUCAAUCUCUUGUUUUCACACCAAACAGAUGGUCAAGUUGCUAUCCAGUACUAACUCCUCUUUCAGGGACCACUUUAAUUUCCUUGAGGGAAUUAUUUAACACCAUUAAUCUUUUCCCCCUAAACAUACGGAAAAUUGUCGGCCAAGCUUCUUAAUUAACGUAUCUCAUCGUCCAAGCAAGGAUUGAAGAUAAAGCUAAAACUAGAUGGCUUCCAAAUUGCAUUCUAAAUCCCAUGAUAUAGAG
rnacentral:lncRNA from 1 species